rnacentral:rRNA from 1 species
UGGGUGAUCUGCCCUGCACUUUGGGAUAAGCCUGGGAAACUGGGUCUAAUACCGAAUACACCUCAUGGACUGCAUGGUUUGUGGGGGAAAGCUUUUUGCGGUGUGGGAUGGGCCCGCGGCCUAUCAGCUUGUUGGUGGGGUGAUGGCCUACCAAGGCGACGACGGGUAGCCGGCCUGAGAGGGUGACCGGCCACACUGGGACUGAGACACGGCCCAGACUCCUACGGGAGCA